GACCUCGAUCAAAACGUAAGGAUUGUUUCGCCGAACACACACCUGUCAAGGCCCAAAAACCGGAUCACUUGAUAGCAGCGAAGCGGUGGUGAAAAAAAUUUGAGAGAAAGAAGUGGAGGAAGUAUUAAAAAGAGAAAAGAUAAUUCAUCGUGAUGUUUCGUAAUACACAUGGAGGGUUAUUUUGUCGCCGAUUCGAAACGAACUUGCUCGAUCGUAAGCUGCGAUUUGAAAACAGGAUGUUGUCUGUGUUAUACUUGGAUACUGAUGAGAGUAGUAACCGUACUCACCGUUUACGGCGCUCUCCUCCUUCUUUUCCGGUUGGACGGUGCUGGAGGAUACCUGAAACAAAAAUGUUUCCGAUAAAUAAUCAGAGGUAACUGCGAGCAUCGUACGAGUUAAACGAGCCUUGGAUUGUCCUGGAAAACAAGAAACUUCGCGCGAACUUACUCUGCAUUGUCGAGAUUCGUUCCGAAAUGCGAGUCAUGAAUUUUAUGAGACACGUGACCGUCUUUCCGCCCUUGCGAGUGUUCGGUGUAUAACAACAACAACGACCUGGCAAGUAUUUCUUUCACUGAAGAAUUGACUGUGAAAACGAAGUGAGAUCCGCACAUCUUAAACAUGAAGCACACCUCAUCCCGCAUCAACUUGAGAAUGAUAAAGAAUCGCUCGUUGAAACUUUCGUCGAUUUGGUUAGGAGACAGGGAUUCUUGUCUCAUCGUCAAUUAUGCAUCAUAGUCGUCGCUUUGUAGGAGAAAUCGGUGCGGUUCAGGGGUGAAGCAGUGCUCUUCAGCGGCCGCGGCAUCGCUUUAAAACUGUCUUCGCACCCGACAAGUCCUACAUACGAAACGAAAGAUUCCCGAUGAGGCAACGACGAGAUCUUUAUCACCGUAAUUUGGCGGCGAAGAUUCGACGCUCGAAGUGAUUACGAACGGCUGUAUAAAUUCUGCAGGUUCGGUUGGUUCAAUUAAUCGAACCCGGAGAAGCUCGACAAAUGUCGCAGUUGUACUUGUAAAGCUUUUGCACAUCGCCAUUCGGCGGAGGGAGCUAUUUUCGUAACACGGUGCGAAAAAAUUUGGCUGAUCGCAGUGCCGGACGCGAAUCCCGGGAUAUUAGCAUUUUUCACCGGGUAUACCCGACCUCUAAUAUCACGACGUCGUUUUCAAAAACUGAAAAAACUAUCGUCUCGCUAUUUUCGUCCGUCGCUGCGCUGCAGCCGCAGCUGAAUUCGUCAUGGCGCAAUUCCGCGUCUAAUUUUCCUCCCCAUAUUACGUACUAUUUUUCAAGUACGGUUGCGGAUCUCCGCUCUUUUUCACAUCUCGAUUUCAUCUCAUCUCAAUAUUUCGCUGCGAUUCUGCUUUUGUUUUUAAGACCUGAGACAAACGUUCUCAAGCAUUGAUUACCAGCUGAAAUUUUAUUUACACCCUACUUGCUCUGUGACAUUUGGCGGUAGGGUCGUUUAUAGACUGUCACACUGUGUUCGCUUGUACGUAUUUGACCUCGUCAUCAUCAUCAUCAUCAUCAUCAUCAUCAUCAUCUCACUGGACAGAUGAACACAGUGACAGCCUACGACGAUGUAAUUACAGUUUCACGUGGCCCCGAAUGCAACAUUUGUCGAAUCGUACGUGCGUUGGAUAUAUUAAUUAAAUUUUGGCCUACAGUUUUUAAAAGUCGCUGGUUAAAAAUUGUAACAAAAUUUAUUCAGCUAUUCACUUACAGUUUAUCACAGAAAUCGUUAAUUAUAUAGUUUAGUAAUAGAAUUUUCCUUAUUCUCUCAAUCGUUAAUUCGAUGUUUUUUGUAAGUUAGUCAUAUCAUCAUUCUUUUAAAUCUUGUUUUAGAAUUUUAGUCACAAUUUUAAUUUUAAUUUCUUUCAUGGACAAAACUGACGCGUGUCGAAUAAUUAUUUUGGUCGCGUUUCAAUGGGAUGAUAAAUAAUGCAAAAUUCGAACAUAACACGCGGUGUUUUCCAAGGAUGAUCCUCGUCUCGGUUUAACGAUUAUACAACAAGUUUGAGAUUGUUUCCCAAAAGUUGAAUAAUUGUCUUAGUGUUAAUUUUUGAUUUCUUUUUUUUUUGUGUGAAAUAUUUCGAAAAAUGCGCCAAGAUCAACGAAACGUUAUUUCCAUUUUUAUUCUAUCUUUGAUAUUUGACUAAAGUUUCAGUUAUAAUUGACCUAGUAUCUACGUUCCGAGGUAUUCGCCAGUUAUUUUAUCCGUCGAACCGACGUUUCAAAUUUGGACAGAAAUUAAUUCUCACGUUUCGUAUUUUUCUCAGUCUGAACAUCCGGCCAUUUUUAUAACUUGGCGCAGUUUUGACUAAUUAUGAUAAUUAUUACCUUAGGAUAUUUACGUCUAUAACGCAUACUGAAUAUUAGGGUUACCCUAAUUGACAGAUUGCACGCUUUGCUGUCAGCUUUAAUUGUCUAUGUAUACAUGUGCAUUUGUUUUUGUGCCUUGUAUGCCUAUCUAUAAGUAUGUAUUUGUGUGUAUCUUGUAUAUGUAUAAUAUGCAACUCGCGUGAAUUUACUCAUGGCCGUGUCCUGCACGUGAAAAUGCGAACAACCGAAGAACUCGAAAAUCGCAUACAAAAAGAAAAAGAAAAAAACGUUAGGCAAAAGUUUUCUACAUAAACCGAGAAGUACCGAGUGAAACAUUGAUGGAUCGCAUAAAAUUUGAAAAGACGUAUCCAAGGACCGCGUAGUAAUUCAACUUUUUUUUUCCAUUUCCACAAUAAUUACAAGUGUAAAAAUUUAUCAUUAUCAAAUACAUAGAGGCAUUGAAUUUUUCCAAUGGAAUUUCGGCGGAUUUCAGAGUUUGUACGAGGAAAGAAAAUUGUUAGAAACUAAUCUAACCGCCACCCAAAUAAGGAUUAGAAUUUUUUUUUAAAUGAUUCGACAUUAGACAGACGUACGUUUUGCAAGAAUUAACCAACAAUUGGAGAUAAGUAGUUCGAUUAUUAUAUGGUCAUUGGAUAGGUCUAUUCGAGACGUUUGAAAUAAUAUCCAACUUAGUGUUUUACUCGGUGGUUCUCGAUUUAACCAGGAAACUUCAAAGAGGAAUAUUGUUUUUUCAGAAGCUUCUAACGACGUUUCCAACUUUUCCAUCGUACGAAAAGAGGAUGCAAAUUGCAAGGUUUCACGAUACCCGAUAGAAAUUACGAGGUUUUCGUCUAUUCGAAUUUUCACGCAUACACGCGUAGAUCCAUAUUGUAUUUUUAAUUACGUAAUUAAACGAAUCGGGUAAAAUAAUUUUUGGUGUGGGGAUAAAACGGCAACAGCCUAUAGGUUGCCUUCGGUAUUAUUAAUAAACUUAUAUAAGUUCAGGGGGUAUAAAACAUGCGAUGCUUUGAAUAUUCGUAUGAUGUAAUGUGGUACAUUGUGUUUUUAUUAUCAAACGAACAGAAAUAAGAACGAAAAAAAAAAUGGUAAGAGCAGAAGCAAGAGCUGGAAUUCUUUUACGAAAGAUGAAAAUUUCUAUUAUUAUUUUAAUUACUGUUACUGCUAGUGGCAUUAUUAUCAUGAUUAUAGGAUACGAUCCGAUUGUAAACAACAUGCAGAAUAGGAAGUACAUUGCCUUUAAAUAUUUGUUCGAUUUGAUGUGAAAACAUGAAACAAUUGUAUUAAUAAAUAAUAUUCUGGGAAUA
rnacentral:lncRNA from 1 species